rnacentral:rRNA from 1 species
CAUUACCGUGAAAAAAUUAGAGUGUUCAAAGCAGGCAGAUCCAAUUUUCUGCCACCGAAUACAUUAGCAUGGGAUAAUGGAAUAGGACCCUGUCCUCCUAUUUUCAGUUGGUUUUGGCAGCGCGAGGACUAGGGUAAUGAUUAAUAGGGAUAGUUGGGGGCAUUAAUAUUUAAUUGUCAGAGGUGAAAUUCUUGGAUUUAUGAAAGAUUAACUUCUGCGAAAGCAUCUGCCAAGGAUGUUUUCAUUAAUCAAGAACGAAAGUUAGGGGAUCGAAGACGAUCAGAUACCGUCGUAGUCUUAACCAUAAACGAUGCCGACCAGCGAUUAGGAGACGUUGAAUACAAAACACCACCAUCGGUGCGGUCGUCCUUGGCGUCGGUUUCGGCCGGCGCGAGGGCGGCUUAGCCCGGUGGCACCGGUGAAUGACUCCCCUACG